rnacentral:rRNA from 1 species
UACGUAGGGUGCGAGCGUUGUCCGGAAUUACUGGGCGUAAAGAGCUCGUAGGUGGUUUGUCGCGUUGUUCGUGAAAACUCACAGCUCAACUGUGGGCGUGCGGGCGAUACGGGGCAGACUGGAGUACUGCAGGGGAGACUGGAAUUCCUGGUGUAGCGGUGGAAUGCGCAGAUAUCAGGAGGAACACCGGUGGCGAAGGCGGGUCUCUGGGCCGUAACUGACGCUGAGGAGCGAAAAGCAUGGGGAGCGAACAGG